rnacentral:rRNA from 1 species
UGAGAGCGGCGGACGGGUGAGUAAUGCCUAGGAAUCUGCCUGGUAGUGGGGGAUAACGUUCGGAAACGGACGCUAAUACCGCAUACGUCCUACGGGAGAAAGCAGGGGACCUUCGGGCCUUGCGCUAUCAGAUGAGCCUAGGUCGGAUUAGCUAGUUGGUGGGGUAAUGGCUCACCAAGGCGACGAUCCGUAACUGGUCUGAGAGGAUGAUCAGUCACACUGGAACUGAGACACGGUCCAGACUCCUACGGGAGGCAGCAGUGGGGAAUAUUGGACAAUGGGCGAAAGCCUGAUCCAGCCAUGCCGCGUGUGUGAAGAAGGUCUUCGGAUUGUAAAGCACUUUAAGUUGGGAGGAAGGGUUGUAAAUUAAUACUCUGCUGUUUUGACGUUACCGACAGAAUAAGCACCGGCUAACUCUGUGCCAGCAGCCGCGGUAAUACAGAGGGUGCAAGCGUUAAUCGGAAUUACUGGGCGUAAAGCGCGCGUAGGUGGUUAGUUAAGUUGGAUGUGAAAUCCCCGGGCUCAACCUGGGAACUGCAUUCAAAACUGACUGACUAGAGUAUGGUAGAG